AUGACUUCCUCUGGGAGAUUAUUUUACAGAAUUGUAAAUCUCAGAAAUGAUGCUCCUCAUCAGACCUGUGCUCCAGACCUCUCAACAGCUUCACUGCCCUUCUCUGGACAUGCUUGUAGAGGAUGAAAGAAUGCGCCUCUUUAAACCCCUGUGAUUCAUGAUGUUACUUCAGUAGUAGACCAUUUCACUUCAUUUCACUUCUCCAGCUUUUGAUAGGCUUCAAUGCAUUGUCUCCUGAUGUUCCUGAAAGUAUGAAGUAUUUUCUGCUAUUUCAAGGUGUUCUCUAGCCUGUCUGCUACAAUAUGAAGAAGGACUCAGUGGCAGCAUUGAAUAAUUAUUUACAGAAGAGGUAAAAAAAAAAUUUUAGUUAUACAAGAGUGUGCAUGUCACACUUGUAGAAAUCUGCACCAGAGGAGGUGACCCACUGUUGCUAUCAUCACUGCUAAAAUGCACCACCCACUGUUUAUUGUGCUCACAUCCACUCUUUGAUCUCUAGAAAUGUUCAGCAAGCAUCAGUGAACAUCAAUGGGUGCCAUUUUUUCCGCAUGGAGGGAUUCAGUCACACACUUUUUCUUCAUAUGCACUUCCAC
rnacentral:lncRNA from 1 species